UUUCUACAAGACAACUAUAUAUGAACUAUUUACCUAUCUAGCCUCUUUACAAAAAAAAAUUCCCUAUCUAGCCUUCUUUUAAAAAAUAUUCCCCAUCUAGCCUCAUUUUCAAAUAUUAGAGAAAAAAAGAGAAAUUAAUUCCUUUAAUAUAUAUUAAGGGGUUAAGUGGGGGAGAUUAUCUUUUUCACUCUUCUCUCCUAUUUUCCGAGAUCCCUUCUCACUUUCUAAUUUUUGCGUAUAAUUUAUCUCAUAUCGAUUUAUUUCAAAAUAUAAAAUUUUUAUAUCGUGCAUCAACCAAUUCCAAUCUUUUUAUAUUUUAAUAAAAAUAUUAUGUAUGGUUCGGAAGGAGUUGAUUAUAAUGGUCCUGAUCCAAAACUAUUUAGAUUUCUCGUACUUUAGAUUUUAAUACAUUAAAACAUGAAAUUUAUAGACCGAAUGGGAUCAAGAUUAUUUUGAUCUAAAAAUUAAUGGGAGAGGAGAGAGAAAAAGAUAAUCUCUCCCACUUAACCCCUUAAUAUAUAUUAAAGGAAUUAAUUUUUCUUUUUUUCUCUAAUCUUUGAAAAUGAGGCUAGAUGGGGAAUAUUUUUGAAAAGGAGGCUAGAUAGGGAAUAUUUUUUUGUAAAGAGGCUAGAUAGGUAAAUAGUUCACUAUAUAUAUAUGUCCUCUUUUAAAUAAAUACACACAAAAUGAUGUGCGUGAAGAAGCCAUUAUCCUUUCCAAUAUUGUGAAGUACUUGAGUGGAGUAUUUUAUUACCAACAAAUAUUAAUUUAUUGUCGAUGAUCUUUGAAAGGAUAUGAUUGGGUGGGGAAUUUUGGUUUGUUGUGGCCACAAAUUUGUAUCGAAAUUAGAUGCUAAGUAUGCGAAAAGGCUUUCAUUUCAUAAAAGAAAAAAUAAAGAAAAAAAAAAUGGAGGUGUAAGUGGUAAAGGAUUUGAAUGGAUCGAAAAUUGUAAACAAGUUAAUAGGUCAAAUAAAUUUAAUUAUUAAAGUGCUAUUAAUACGCACCACGACAUAUAUAAUUUUACAUACUGGACAUAACUAGAAACACUACUAAAAAAUUAGUCAUUAGUGAUAUUUAUUUGUACUGCUAAAUGAUCAACAAAUGUUACUAAAAAUUUUAGCAGCAUAUAACACCAAAUACUGCCUAUACCAAUGUUGCUAAAAGUAUUAGCAAUAUUAAUUAUAAAUGACGCCAAUAUAAAUCAAUUAGUGUCAUUAGGAAUAUGCCGCUAAAAGGGAUAAAUGCUAAUUUUAAAUUGUUUAUUAGUGGCACAUAAAUAUAAUGCCGCUAAUAUAAAUAUCUGAUUUUAGAAAUUAAAAUUUUAAAAUUUUAAUUUUAUAUUUAAUUUUUUUGAGAUGCUACCCGCUUCAUUUAUUUCUGUUUGUCUUAAACUUUGCUAGAAAUGUGAAUCAACUAGGAUUCGAACUUGAGACCUUGAGUACUAACAACCAAGUACUUUGCCACUUGCGCUAGCAACUAUUAGUUAUACAUAUUUUAAUUUUUUAUAUUUUAAGUCUUCUAUUUUAAAAUUUUAAAAUUUUAAAAUUUUAAAUUUUUAAAUUUAGAUACUAAAUUUAAAUUUUUAAUUUUGAAAUAUGAAAUUUUAAGUUUCAAAAUUAAUAGUUUUAAAUUUGAAAUUUAAAAUUUAAAAUAAAUUUAAAAAUUAAAAAUUUAAAAAUUAACAAUUUUAGAAUUUAAAAUUUAAAAUAUAAAAUUUUAGAAUUUUAAAUUUUAAAUUAUAAAUUUAAUUUUUAAAAUUAUAUGUUUAAAAUUUUAAACUUUAAUUUUAAAAUUUUUUAUUCUAAAUAAAAAAGAAAUUAUUAAUAAUUAUAUAUUAAUUAGAAAUGAUAUUUAGUAACAAGUGCUGCUAGUUUAUUAUAUUUAGCGGCAUUGACUAAUUUAUACUGCUAAUUUAUCCUAUUUUGCAACAUUAAUAGAAAAUUGCUACUAAAUAAUUAAAUCUAGCAGCAAUUAUCAAGUAAUGGUGCUAAAUAUAUUAAUUGACAUGAUUUAAAUAAAUGUCGCAGAGCAAAUAUUGCGGCAUUUAGCAAUAAGUGCUGCUACUUUAUUACAUUUAGUAUCAUCUUUUAUAAAAUGCUGAAAAUUUCGGUGGCAUUUACUAAUUUAUGCUGCUAAUUUAUUCUAUUUUGCAACAUUAAUAGUAAAUUACUGCUAAAUUAUUAGAAGUUUACUAUUAAUGGCAUUUACUAAUUUAU
rnacentral:lncRNA from 1 species